rnacentral:rRNA from 1 species
GCUUAACCGAAGAAGUGCAUCGGAAACUGGGUGACUUGAGUGCAGAAGAGGACAGUGGAACUCCAUGUGUAGCGGUGGAAUGCGUAGAUAUAUGGAAGAACACCAGUGGCGAAGGCGGCUGUCUGGUCUGCAACUGACGCUGAGGCUCGAAAGCAUGGGUAGCGAACAGGAUUAGAUACCCUGGUAGUCCAUGCCGUAAACGAUGAGUGCUAGGUGUUGGAGGGUUUCCGCCCUUCAGUGCCGGAGCUAACGCAUUAAGCACUCCGCCUGGGGAGUACGACCGCAAGGUUGAAACUCAAAGGAAUUGACGGGGGCCCGCACAAGCGGUGGAGCAUGUGGUUUAAUUCGAAGCUACGCGAAGAACCUUACCAGGUCUUGACAUCUUGCGCCAACCCUAGAGAUAGGGCGUUUCCUUCGGGAACGCAAUGACAGGUGGUGCAUGGUCGUCGUCAGCUCGUGUCGUGAGAUGUUGGGUUAAGUCCCGCAACGAGCGCAACCCUUGUUACUAGUUGCCAGCAUUAAGUUGGGCACUCUAGUGAGACUGCCGGUGACAAACCGGAGGAAGGUGGGGACGACGUCAGAUCAUCAUGCCCCUUAUGACCUGGGCUACACACGUGCUACAAUGGACGGUACAACG